rnacentral:lncRNA from 1 species
GGGAUUACAGGCAUGAGCUACCACACCCGGCCAUGACUAGAUUUUCAAAGGCUAUUGGUAUCAGGAAUGUCUUAUGAAAGAUAAGUUUAACCUGAGAUACUAGAUGCAAUAAUUACAUCCUAAGAAAGAUAGUGGCGCAUUGUAACAUGACAUUCAAAGCGAGCCUAUAGCACAGUUAAUUCCCCUUUUCUCAUUUUUUUAGUUUCAAAACUAUUUCUGGCUAGGCGCAGUGGCUCACGCCUGUAAUCCCAGCACUUUGGGAGGCCAAGGUAGGUGGAUCAUCAGGUCAGGAGUUUGAGACCAGCCUGGCUAACAUGGUAAAACUCCGUCUCUACGAAAAAUACAAAAAUUAGCCAGGUAUGGUGGUGCGCUCCUGUAAUCCCAGCUACUCGGGAGGCUGAGGCAGGAGAAUCGCUGGAACCCGUGAAGCGAAAGUUGCAGUGAGCAGAGAUCGCGUCACUGCACUCCAACCUGGGUGACAGAGUGAGACUGUCUCAAAAAGAAAAAACUCUGAACUUCUCCGUUUUGGACAAGCCCCUUCACUUCUCCAUGCCUUAGUUUUCU